GNNGUUGAUACUGUCAGUCUGNAGUACAGUAGAGGUGGGCGGAAUUCGUGGUGUAGCGGUGAAAUGCUUAGAUAUCACGAAGAACUCCGAUUGCGAAGGCAGCUCACUGGACUGCAACUGACACUGAUGCUCGAAAGUGUGGGUAUCAAACAGGAUUAGAUACCCUGGUAGUCCACACAGUAAACGAUGAAUACUCGCUGUUUGCGAUAUACAGUAAGCGGCCAAGCGAAAGCAUUAAGUAUUCCACCUGGGGAGUACGCCGGCAACGGUGAAACUCAAAGGAAUUGACGGGGGCCCGCACAAGCGGAGGAACAUGUGGUUUAAUUCGAUGAUACGCGAGGAACCUUACCCGGGCUUAAAUUGCAGUGGAAUGAUGUGGAAACAUGUCAGUGAGCAAUCACCGCUGUGAAGGUGCUGCAUGGUUGUCGUCAGCUCGUGCCGUGAGGUGUCGGCUUAAGUGCCAUAACGAGCGCAACCCUUAUCUUCAGUUACUAACAGGUCAUGCUGAGGACUCUGGAGAGACUGCCGUCGUAAGAUGUGAGGAAGGUGGGGAUGACGUCAAAUCAGCACGGCCCUUACGUCCGGGGCUACACACGUGUUACAAUGGGGGGUACAGAAGGCAGCUAGCGGGUGACCNNNNNNNAAUCCCAAAAUCCUCUCUCAGUUCGGAUCGAAGUCUGCAACCCGACUUCGUGAAGCUGGAUUCGCUAGUAAUCGCGCAUCAGCCACGGCGCGGUGAAUACGUUCCCGGGCCUUGUACACACCGCCCGUCAAGCCAUGGGAGCCGGGGGUACCUGAAGUACGUAACCGCAAGGAUCGUCCUAGGGUAAAACUGGUGACUGGGGCUAAGUCGUAACAAGGUAACCA
rnacentral:rRNA from 1 species